GGACUGUUUGACUCUGCAAUUCCAUGAAAAAGCUCUUUACAUGCCUUUAUCAGACUCUUAUACUGUAAAUGGGUGUACGUUGCUAAACAUUUUCAGUUCUGCAAUGUGCUUCAUAAAGUGUAAAGUAUAAUAUACACCAAAACAGUCAUUAAAAAAAAAGGUAAUCAUCAAUUUUUAAAUUUGGACUUGGAAUGGGUUUUGUGAGGGACAAAUGCUCUUUGUCUAUUUAAUGAUUAUACAGUGUUGGAUGUGUGUAUUUAACAUGAACAGUUAUUGGCUGUGAGGCAAGAAACAGUGCGGACUUCAAAAGCACAUUCAGUUUGACCUUAUCUAUUCCAGUCAUGGAGAGAUUUGGCCUGCCACCUGAUGCAAAUGUUAUAUACAAGGAUGCAACAGGGACAGAAGUUGAUGCAGAAAUAUUCAGCAACCUCGUUGGACAAGGCAAUGUGGUCCUGACAGUUUUCUCAGAUCAGGAUGAGAUAUCAAGGCAGGUAUAAUAAAGCACUCUACCUUAGUAUAUAAUUUAAUAAUUUAAAUGUUCUCUAUUGCUUUAGAAUUCUCUGAUUUCUCCUUGUCUUCUGAGACGUCUGACUCAAGCUUCAGCUCAAGUGCAUCAACUAUAAUCCUAGAUGUUCCUAACAAGAGACAAAGAAUUGAGGCUACACGUGAUGCUGUGUCUGCUAAACAGUCUCAUGUUUUUGUUAUUUAUUAGUAAUAGAGGCAAGUCCAGAGGUGAACAGAAACCCUAACAGAUGCUGCAAGAAGACAAAUGGUUGAUAUCCCGGUGGCUCACAUGAUUGACAAUCAUGGGCACUGCCCCACUAAAACAAUCAGAGAAGAUUAUGCACGUGGGAUAGUGAUGCUGUUCCCUUCCCUUAAGGAUCCAUACUCAAAGAACACUUCUAUGAUGCUGCAAGCAGCACAGGAUACAUUUCUUGGCAUCUGAAAACAGUCCAGAGGAAGAUUUAUCAAGGAUCUGCACAACCACCAAAUAGCCCAAUUGACUUUUCUCCAGGAGGCCCAAAUUGCCAAAGGACUGUUAAUGUUGAAGGGCAGCUUGAUGGUGAUGCUUGCCAAGAGGCCAUGUCUUUGCUUAACCAUACAGCAGACAAUUCCCUGAUUUUCCAGAAGAUGAGAGAGACCUUUCAGCAUUGUCAGAAGCUUGUUAAUGACCCAGGCAGAAGUGUUGAUACUCUCCAGCUUCCCAAGAUUCCUGGAUACAAAAGCAUUGGUGGACCAAGACUUCACUCUCCUAUUUGACAAAGACACAUCCUCCAGGCUUCUUCAGAAAUGGGAUUUGUUCUUCAAGCCAAAUGUCAUUAAAGAGGCUAAGCGGCUCACCUCAACACCAGAGUCGCUUGGUGCAGUCAGCAGAAAGUCCACCAGGACGUGAUCUUGAUGAGGCAACAACCUACGACCAAGAAAUGGCCUCCCUGUUGUUGCUGUUACAUCUCCUUCCACCACCUCCAGGGGGACUGAAGUCUCCAAAAAUUAGUGCAUGUGAUGCAGUUGAAAGACUUGUUGUAUUUCAUAAGUCAUGCUGCAGUUUGGAGGAGCAUCUCCGCAACCAGCAGGGUCGGCAGCCGUACCUCCUCGCUGUUGGGCGUCAGAAGAGCAAGAUUGACAGCUUCUACAUCACCAUGGAUAAGCGUCUCAUCCCAUACAAGGCACACCGCUCCCUCGGGGCAUGUGAUGAACUUUUCAAAGCACAUUUUGUGUUUAAUUUGUCUUACGAUGUGGCACUUGUGAAUUUUUAUACAUUCCUGCAGACAACAGUGUAUAACAUUGAUGUGGGGGAAAUUAAGGAGUCACCCAGAGUUAAAGAGACUGCUUAACCAGCCAGUAGCAUUCUCACCCUGUGAGUAAGAAGCUAUAACAAUGCUGACCUGUUUCAUGUGUUGACAAACAAGCUAUUUACAGGCAUUCAGAGUAUUACGAAGUGCGGAAAGAUGUUUACUAAAAAUGUCUGAGCUUAAAUUUCAUAAACCGUUUCAUAUUCAAAGCUCAUACAAUGUUUCGGAUGAAAGUUUGUACAUUAUACCUUCAUUCACAAUGUUUUAAUUCAACUGACUGCAAGGGAGAAAAGGAAUAAAUGUUUUUGAAAAUGUU